UACGUAGGGGGCUAGCGUUGUCCGGAAUCAUUGGGCGUAAAGCGCGUGUAGGCGGUCCGGUAAGUCCGCUGUGAAAGUCGGGGGGCUCAACCCUCGGAUGCCGGUCGAUACUGUUGGGCUUGAGCACUGUAGAGGCUAAUGGAAUUCCGGGUGUAGCGGUGGAAUGCGUAGAGAUCCGGAAGAACACCGGUGGCGAAGGCGGUUAGCUGGGCAGUUGCUGACACUGAGGCGCGACAGCGUGGGGAG
rnacentral:rRNA from 1 species